rnacentral:rRNA from 1 species
UUUUUUUUUUGGUUUUAUUUGGUUUUUUUCGCUUCCGUCCCCCCCCGCGCGCCGGGGGGCGGGUGGGGCGGGGGAUGUGGGGGGGGGCGCGCCACCCCCCACAUCCCCCCCCCUCCCCCCCGCGGGUGGGAAAUAAAAUAUAACGGCGGGACAAGUUUGUUUCCCGGUAGGAGGGGGGGGGGGGCCCAACCCCUUCUUGUGGGAUACUCCCCCUUUAGGCGCCCCCCGCCGACUUUUAUUGUACGCUGGGCUGUGUAGGGGGGGGGGGGAGCGGGGGAGUAUUCCCCCUUUGCCCGGGGAUCGCUUUGGUUAAGGAGAGCUCAGAAUUAACCGUCAUCAACCUCGCUAGUGGGCAGUAGUUUUUUGAGUGGGCGCGAACUCCCUCUCUUCUGCUGAGCUUGAGCAUAUCAAUAAGCGGAGGCAAAGAACCUAACAAGGAUGCGCCUAGUAACGGGGAGUGAAGAGGGAAGAGCUCGCAUUCUGAGUCUGGGUCCUUUGGUGUGGGAAUAGUACUCUAGAGAAGUGUUUUCUGUGAUCGACCAUGCAUAAGUCUCCUGGAAUGGAGCGUCAUAGAGGGUGAGAAUCCCGUAUAUGGCAUGGACUCCCGUUGCUCUGUGAUACGCUGUGGACGAGUCGAGUUGUUUGGGAAUCGCAGCUCCAAAUGGGUGGUAAAUGCCAUCUAAAGCUAAAUAUUGGCGAGAGCCCGAUAGUGAACAAGUACCGUGAGGGAAAGAUGAAAAGCUCUUUGGAAAGAGAGUGAACCAGUCCGUGAAAUUGUUGAAAGGGAAACGCUUAAAGUCAGUCACACCGUUCGGGAGUCAGCCUUGCUUCUGCUCGGUUUACUGCAUGUUGGGUGGGUCAACAUCAGUUUUGGUCAAAGGAGAAAUGCUUGGGGAAUGUAGCAGCAUCCGUGCUAUGUUACAGCCCCGCGUUGUAUGCUGUGCACUGGGACUGAUGACCGCUCGCCCCUCUUUGGCUCGGGGUUCAGCUAGGCGAACGUCGCUGUAGGAUGUUGGCACAACGGUUUAUAAACGUGCCGUCGUGAAGCGCGG